ACGCGGAGGGCGCCAGACCCCAGGAGGUGCCAGUUCAACCCCCAACAUCGAAGGGGCCCGGCAUCGUGGACGCGGAGGGCGCCAGACCCCAGGCGCCAGUUCAUCUAGAGAUCGCUCACCGCUUGGUGAGCGAUCACUCAAUGUGCCGUCACCGCGGCGUCGUCGUCCUAUGCUUCACUUUAUAAAAACUAUCAGUACCAGUUCUACUGGACUGGUUAAGGAGCUUAAUGAACUCGGAGUAGUUGAAGGAGCUGAAGGAGCUGAACCCGGAAGUUCGAAUUUGUCUUCUGACGACUUAUAAUCACGAUUGGUGAUAAGUGAUUAAUCGAAAUAAGUGAUUAAUCGAAAGGCUUAAAUUAAAGUGAAACAUGCUUAAUACACUUCACAUAUGCUCUAUUGAAGUGUAGCCCGAGUUGGUACUAUAACUGUUAAACCUCAUUUGCCUAACUUCAUACAUUUCAAGCUCUUGUGUCUUGUCAUUGAAAAAUCAGCAUUACACUUGGCGCUCAAGUGGAAAGAUAGCUCGGACUAAUUAAGACUUUAGUGCCUAGUUUUAAGCGUUUGAAGUGACUAGCUUAUUGUUGUUUGUUGAAGUUUUUUCUCUUCUAUUAUUAUGUUUAGGGUAGGUCUCGAUUAAUAGAGGUUUUCUCUCUUACUUUCUGAGUAUUAUACGAGUAGUUAAAACAUCUUUGUUAUUCUGAAGCCUUCUGUGUAAAUAAUGUAAAUAUGUGAGGGAAUUUAUUUUACAAGGAAGAGAAUUUAAACGAAACGCUUAUGUACUUGUGUGUAAAUAUCUCGUCUAGGUUAGUUAAGUAUUCUCUCAAGUUGACUUGAAAACUUCAAAGGCAGUGUGCUAUUGCGAGUUGCUCUGGCCGGUGACAAUAGUAUCGAUAAUAAUCAGUUGUUGACGCAAUAUAUGAGGAGGUAUUUAUUAUUUUAUUUACUUUUAGCUUGUACAAACACGGCUGUUGACAUUGCUUGGGUAAAAUAAGGAUCUCACAUCAACUUGUGAAGGUGCGGUUCCUUCGGCUUCUGUUUUGUGUCCCGACGAGGAAUCCUGACUCCAUAAUCACGUCGGCUUACUCUCUAGCACUGGCUUUCGGCACGAAACAUAAGUGUCAGGCCCUUGCUGCCCAUAUGUAACGAGUAAUCUUCCAUUCCUUUUUCUCUUCUGGAACUAAAUAUCGCUUGUGUCUUCAGUAAAUUCAUAACAAAUUUUAUAACGUCACACCGCGAAAACUGUGAAUAAAGUUUUCAUAAUUUAUUCAUAAAUUCGAAAUUUAGUUCGUCACUGUAUUUCCAUCAGUAAUAAUAGAAGUAAUAAAAAAAAUUGAUAUUUUGUUAUUAAAUCCGCUGCCGUAAAAAGUAAAGUAAUUUCUUUUCUCUAAUUUCGAAAAAUGUAUUGCUAGUGUUCGAUCUGUUUCAGAGAGAGUUCGGUAUUAAAUUAGGUUAUGAAAUUCUUAUCAAAUUUCGUUGAGCUUAUAGAGGUAAAAAUGUUGCAAUUACAUACAUGCAUUGCAGUUCAAGAUACUUUUCCAUGUAAUGAUUGUUAUUUUUGAGCAAUCUAAGGACUCAACUACUGCCUGAAUAUUGUUUCUGUUUUCAACUAUUGCCUGAAUAUUGCACCAAACCUAAGGAUGUUCAUCAUGCUUUCCAAAGCAUCGAAAAAAAUCUCUUUGGUUUUUCCAAAUUAUUUUCUGCCACUGUUAUUGUGAGAUAUUUAAUGUUCUGACAUCCUGUAAUUAUUACGUGUAUCUCCCAACAAGAUGUUAUCAGUAAUCGUCAAUGUCAUGGAAAUGUAAUCCUAUUCUACUCGUUAAUUUGUGCGACUAGGCAUGCAUUUCUGAUAGGUUCUGAUAAUUAUUUUUCCACUUAAGAGACUGAGUGCAAUGAGCUUGAAAUAGAUCACCCAUAUUUUGCCGAGUAUUGAUUCAGCGCAGCCUGGAUUCCUUAUUACAUAGUUUUUUAUUUUGGUUUUUGUCAUCAUUUUGAAUCUUCUGUUUAGCUAAUGUAUUUACUGUCACGACGCUGAAAUAUAUUUAGUUUUUAAAUGCAAAAUGAGCAUCUUGAGCUCAGCGAAAUAUUUGUUUCGCUACUGAAUUUGUGUUCUCAGAUACAGGGAUUGGCAGCAAUGUUGAUGGCAUUUCACUAUUAAUAUUCGUUAAAUAACGAUCAAGCGAUGGCCUCUGUAGCUUAAAAAUAUUGGGAAAAUUCUUUAAUUGCUAGAACUAUUAAAAAUACUAGCAUUUUUAAAGAAUAUUUGUAUUGCUCCGUUUAUUCCCGAUUUUCUAGCGUGUUAAUGUAGCGAUAUUCAGAGUUGUAAGGCGAUUGCUAUCGUUGACGAAUUCUUCUUACUUUCUAGUGGAAAUUAAUAUUAUUUUAUGUUCAAGUUUUCUGGAGAUUGAAGUUGGGUGGUUCUCUUCAACGCAUAGAAAUAUAUUUAAUAGCAAA